AACUGGAUGACUGAGAAUCUCCAUAGACAGAGAAAGUAUCCUUCAAAAAGAUUGGAUGAGAGAAUGAAGAUCUGGGGGUCACUUGUCUUCUGCAGGAAAUGGUCCAGGAGAGAAUGCAGGGAGGUGCUGAAGGCUAAAGUGUUGUUAUUUGAUAAAGGUGUUCUCUAACACAGAAAGGAUUGGGCAAAAGCUUGAUGACUUGUGUUAAAUCUUUGCCAAGUCAUGGUUGUUCCUCUCUGUGGACCUUGACUUCAGCCUAUUAGCUUAAUGCCAGCUGCCUCCCAUUGUACAACUUCUAUGUUCCUUCCUUGGUUCAUCCACGUCACUAAAUAAUAAUAAUAAAAAUGUCCUGACUCUCCUAAAUCCAGACUUUUGCCCUAGAACAUCACUGAUGACAUUUGAACAUUGUACUGUUGACCCAGCUCUGCAAGCUUCCUGUUUCAUGUGAAAGUUGCUUUGGGAGCCUGAUUUUUGCCAAUCUGGUUCACUUGAAAGCAGGCUACAUGAGUUUCUACAAAAGCUUCCUGCAAGUAUAACAACCGAGGGACUUGAUCAAAGCUUAAUUUGAGAAGGAUUCAAAAAAACCCCUGAUGGAUAGAGAUGGAAGCAGCAGUUAUCAAGCAAACACUGUGGUCAUAAAGAGAACCCAUGAAGCCACAGUUUUGUUGAAAACUGAAAGCAAAUGGCAGCUUUGGGCAAAACCAUCACAAAGCUCUGUCAUGUGACCAUCAGACUCUGCAAAUGGCCAUAAAUGUGGCCAUGUUACCAAGCAACCAAAGUGAGGUCAUAUGACCAUGGAAGGCACUCCACCAUCAGAACUUCAGAACUGGGAUGUCAGUAGCCUCAAGGCAGGUCCUUGGAAGUUGUAUUCUACCUAUAGUUGAUGCUCCUGACAUGUCUAAAUUUCGGAUUUGGGUUUUAA